CUGGAGUCAGCUCAUAGAUGCUCUGAUUUUGUCUACCAUUGCUCCUCCUUAAUAUCUCUCGCACAGGUGCCAUUGACCUUUAGAUGGGCUGUACGGUGUGGGGUUCGGUGCCAUGGAUCUGCUUCUCCAGGGACCAGGAUCUUGAGAUCUUCAGGCUGGGUUUCCAUGGAGGCAUGGAGCUGCUUUUCCUCCUUCAUAACUGCACUCAAAACAGCCCUGUUGCUCUAGAAUGGAGACUUGGGCAACUCCUUCUGGCACAGAUUUGUUCACCUCAGGUGAAAUUCAGAUAGAAGCAAGCUGCAGGCAGUUUCACCUCUAAGUCCAUGGGUUCUCAACUGGUAACGUCCUCUUAUGGAUGUUAGCCCAUGAGGUCAAUCCUGUAGCAAUCUAAGGCUUGAGAAAAAUUAAUCUUCUGGAAAAUUCCAAGAAUACAUCUUAGGGAAACUGGCUCUACCUUUAUGACUUGGAUCACACAAGGAUAUGCUUUUCAUCUUGGACUAGAACUGAGAGCCAAUGGAUGUGUUAUCUAAAACUAUCCCAGUGUGUUCACUAUACAGAGGAAGAUUCUGAGAUUCAAGACUCAAGACUGAAGAAGAUCAUUAUUUUUAUUAUUUUAGUCUUAUGCACAAAAUGAUAUCUACUGAAUAAGCAGGUUUUUAAUAGGUGACUUAUAUAUGUUAGCAAAAAUAAACACUUUGUCUUUUAGAUCUAUUCUAGUUUUUCAGUAGCUGUAGACUUAAGUGCUAACUUUUAGCCCAUAGGAUAAGAAGAAACCAAGUCCUAAAAGUAGGCCAGCACCAGGGUUCAGGCCUCUGACUUCAAGCCAAGGGCUCAUCAUCUUGAAUUGCGCACGAAUUUUUACACAGCGCCAAAGGAAACUGCCUGUACUUACUGUUGUAGGGUGCUUUGCUGGAUUCAGGAUGCA
rnacentral:lncRNA from 10 species